AUGAACGCUAGCGGCAGGCUUAACACAUGCAAGUCGAGGGGCAGCACGUCUUCGGAUGGUGGCGACCGGCGCACGGGUGCGUAACGCGUAUACAAUCUACCUUUUACAGAGAGAUACCCCAGAGAAAUUUGGAAUAAUACCUCAUAAUAUUAUUGCUCGGCAUCGAGUGACAAUUAAAGUUUCGGCGGUAAAAGAUGAGUAUGCGUCCUAUUAGCUAGUUGGUAAGGUAACGGCUUACCAAGGCGACGAUAGGUAGGGGUCCUGAGAGGGAGAUCCCCCACACUGGUACUGAGACACGGUCCAGACUCCUACGGGAGGCAGCAGUGAGGAAUAUUGCACAAUGGGGGAAACCCUGAUGCAGCAACGCCGCGUGGAGGAUGACG
rnacentral:rRNA from 1 species